GUUUUGUAUUUCCUUCAUCUCUUCGGCAUCUAAUUGUUGUUUUUUUUCAAAUACAUUUUUUUUUUGUCAGUUCUGAGAAUUUUUUUAGGUUGGGUCAACUCAUCUGAACUGAAGGAAGGGAGGUCAAAAAUUCAUGAUGGCGGCUUCCAUUAAAUUUUGUUUUGAAAUAUGUACUGUAAUUACUCACCUACCCCAUCGCCUCAACCUCUAAAGUUUUGAGACACAGUAAAAGCUCGAGCGUUGUGCAUAAUUCUCCAUGUUUUUUAUCAGCUGGCCAAUCUUUUCUUCACACGCAGACCCAGAGCAAACACCACACGUGGCCAUCAUUCACCAGUUCAUUCAGAUCUGCUUACCCAUUUCGCCAUCGAGGACCUUUUCGCCUUUUUGAAUACUAGCGGGAGUGAGAACUUCAUUUGGACGUCCUCCAUUGGCAAACGGAUGACCGCCCUUCGUAAGUUUUCCCUUCCGUGAAAAGGAAUUCAGGGGAGUAGUAGACUCGUGUGCCUUUGGGUCCGCUAGUCAUUGCGAAACUUCCGGAAGUUGUUGUAACUGUCCGGCUCAAUCCAAAAUCCGAUAUUUUCAGAACGAACGUUGAAGAAAUCAAUACGUUUGCUGGUUUUAUGUCUCGAUGGACAAAAUGCUUGGAAUGAAUGUAUUGAAGUCCGCUAGCCAUUUGAAUCAUCCCCUCGAUCUCGGAAGGCAUUUCGCCCUUAUAGGUUCCGUUAACGUAGUUGGCAAUUGUGCCGACGCAUAAUUCCAAAAUCAGUGAACACAGAUACUUGAAGUCGUUGUCAUCCUGGACAUGAAGGAGUUUGAGAACGUUAGGAUGGUCGAGGUUUUUCAUGGUCUCCUCUUCUAGUUCUUGAGCAGCUUUG